ACAGGCGAGGGCGUUCGGCGACGUUACUGGGGCUGCACGGUGCUUGUAGCUGGGCAGUCUUAUCAUCAGAGUGGAGCCUGGUAACCACGACCUCCCCGCCAGGUCCUGUGUGUUGCUAGCUGGAGAAGGGUAGUUGAAAACUCAGACCAAGCACAGUGUUUAUAUCGGUCAAAACUGGAAAACUAUGUCCGGGCGCAGCCGAGGCUGGAGGAUCCCUUCAGGCCAAGAGCAACCUAGCAAUAUGGCGCGACCGGAUCUCUGUAGUCCUACCUCAACCCCCAGCUACUUGAACCCCAAGGUUGAAGGCUCCAGUGAGCUAUGAUCCCACCACAGCAUUGCAGCCUGCCAGACUGAGGGCUUGAGGAUCAGCCAGGUUUCAUGAGUUCAAUGCAGACCUGAAUCAUACCAAGCUGAGACUGGGGUACACACUCUCCUCUACUGAAAAGUAGUGAGGGAUUCCAACUUGGUGAGAGGGAGAGUGGGGGAGAGCCAGACCAGACAAGAGUGCUCACCUGGAAAAAGCCUGCCAUCAAAGGCCAUGACAUGAACUUAUGAAUUCAACACAUGAAGACUUACAACUUGAUAAACCAGCUUCAGGAGAUUGAGAAAACUUGUAUUCCUGUGAUUUCGAUAGUGAAGGAAGUAUGGUAUACCAGAAUCACUAAAUUAUGAAAGAUGGUAGAUCAGCUUUUUGCAAAAAAAUUUGGUUCCUGAAAGGGAGAGAGGAAAUCUUCGAUUUUUCAUGGCUGUGAACCACUGCAAGUAUUGAAGAAAUAUUUACUACUUCCAGCCUCAUAAUCCUGCAGUCAUUUGGCACCUCUGAAGCCUUGGGGAGCACUGAAGCCAAGGCUGCACCGUACCAAAAAUUUGAAACAUGUGAAUGAGCUGAAUGUGGAAGGACUACCGGAAAACACUCCUUUCAGAAUCCCCUCAUUGCAUGAAAUCCCAAGGCUCGAAAACAUCUUUCAAGUGAGCAAUUGAAUUAAGUUUGUUAUUAAGAGUAACUCCAGUUAGCCUCCAUUGUCUCCAAGCCGGCUUUUGUCCUCAUCCACAACGCCUCCACACAAGCUCUGAACACCUGUCCAUUAGUCCCAAGAUUUUCCAAGAUCAUCCUGUCCUCCAGUGUCUGGUUGAUUCAACUUCAGAAUAUAUCCGAGUCUGUCCUUCACUCCUCACUGCUGCCACCCUGGAACCAUCUGCCAUCGUCUCUCACCUGGAUUAUCUCCAUAGUCUCCUAACUGGUUUCCUUGUUUCCAUGCUUGCCUCUUUCAGUCUACUCUCUCUCUCUCUCUUUUUUUUUGAGACAGUCUUGCUUUGUCGCCAAGGCUGGA
rnacentral:lncRNA from 1 species